rnacentral:lncRNA from 1 species
UCCUCUUGAUUCUCUUCCUCAACCAGAAACUCUCCUCCCCAUUCAUUUCUAUACAAAUCGCAGUCUACGUAUCCCCUGAGCAAUGGAACUACCAACUUUUCUUUCCACAAUUAUCAAUAACUUUUAUUCUCAAAAAAAGAAAUUUCUGGUUUCUGAUGCUUUGUAUGAUUACAUACGUUCGCCUUUUGAUCUAACUAAGAAAUUUAUAGGUUCCGAUGCAGUGUCUGAUGUAACCCACAAGCUUUCUGAUCAAAUAAAGAAAUUUCUGGCUUCUGGUGCUGUGUCUGAUUUCAUCCACACUCCUUUUGAUCUGAUAAAGAAGAAGUUUACAGCGUCUGAUGCAGCGUCUGAUUUCAAUAUCCGCAAGCUUUCUGAUCUAACAAAGAAAUUUCUGGCUUCUGAAACAGUGGUAGAUGUCCUCCGAUGGCUUAAGAAAGAAAGUGUUCCUAUAAUGGUAGCUGUGGUAGUGAUAGCACUCCUGUUUGGUGGUUGCUGUGGAGGUGCUGCCAAGAGUGUUAAAACAAUGAAAGCACCAGGGAGGAACUAUCGCAUGCCAAGGAGUAAUUUUGAAGCAAAUCCUUCUGCUUAUUUUAGGGGCCUGCGCAAGGGGUAGAAGAUAUAUGUCGAUCCUAAGCCUCCAAUAUGGUUGUUUCCAGUGACUUCUUCACCGGCAGCAGACCCUCUUUUCUUCUUCUCUUCAUCGACCCUGCUGUAUUUUCUUCUUUUCGAGUGGUUUUUCAAAAGCUUUGAUCUGUUAUAGUAGAUGCUUUGGGGGCUUAGUAGGAUAUUAUGCUGUAUGGGAUAGGCUGGGCUGGGGUGAUCUUGCUUCAACUUACAUGUUUCAAUAAUGAAUUGAAUUGGUCUUCAUGAUCAACCACAUAUAUCCAUUUCAUAUAUAUAUAUAUAUAUAUAUAUAUAUAUAUAUAUUAUAUACAUAGCUUAUAUUUACUUGACAAUUGACAUACAUGCUUGCAUCUUCCUUGAGUGAUCAUUGCUUCAAUUAAAUAUAUAUGAUUUUGUUUUCUAUAUUAAUGUUCUUUACUUGGGAUUUCGAAAACUUUCAAAAAUCAAUUGAAAUGAUUUUGUUUCGUUUAAUUUGUUUGGUCCCAGUUGGGAAUUGGUGGAUAAUCUGGAAGCCAAUCCGAGGGUUGUCCAAAUAAUUCCUAAUGUGCCCUGUAUAUCAGCCAAGCAUGCAUGCGAAGGGAGAGAGAAGGAGUCUUUUUUUUAUAUUAUUAUUUGUUUAUAGUCUUCUUUAAAAAUCUUCCAAUCAGUUCUAUCAAUCGAUAUUUCUAAACUUGAUCCAAUCACUGAUUUAGUCAAACUAUAAAAGUCACUAAUUCAUCAAUGAGUCAAUAAUCAUGCUGUAGUGGUUGGAUAGUUGGCAUUAUAAUAUAUGUAUGUUUUACCAUAUGUGAAGCAUAAAUAAAUAAUAACAAAGAAAAUUAUGCUAUAUUCUGUUUUGCUUUGUUUCUAGCUUCUGCUUUCUUUUGUCAAAAGUUGGUUGGUUGAACAUGACAUCAAUUUCAAGUGUAUCUGUCAAGAUAAUGUAGAAAUGCAUAGCCUAAUUCUUUGAAGGGUUAAGAGAUGCAACUAACUCACCUUUUGUUAUUAUUUUUUUCAAAACUUAAUUUUAGGUUUUAUAUUGUAUUUCUUUUUUAUUUAGUAUUCUGAUUUUUCCUUUGGUUUAUGUUCUAUUUAAGAAGUUUUAUGUAAAAAUCUUUUUCAACAAUUUUUUUUCCCGUGUAGAUACCAUUUGCGUAGUACGUAAGGCCCUAUCUUAUAUUCUCAGAUGUGUUGCAUAAAUCCUACUUCCCUACGAAGGAAAGAAGAAAAUUAUGAUAUCUUCUAUCUUGCUUUUGCUUUCUUUCUUUACCUUUGCUUUGUUUUGUCAAAAGUGAGAUUUUCCCCGCAUUAACACUGAUAAAAGAUAUUUCCUAAACUAAAAAUAUUUUGAUAUGUAACCUGGUAGAUGUUCGUUUUGGUUUUGACAGAAUUGAGCAUGAUGUUAUCGAAUCAAUUCAAGUUUUUGAUUUGAUUAAUAAAUUUUGUUUUUCUAUUUUGUAUUUAAAACAGAUUGGUCCAGGCUUCGAUGCUGGCCGAACCUUGAAUUUAAUUUUUGUUGUUUUUAAAAAUCAUUUGAUUUAGUCGAACUAUUAUUUUUGUUGUAUUUUUUUUAAAUUAUACUAAAAAAUAUUCAUAGUUAUUAAAUUAUACAUGAUUAAUGAGUUGAUUAAAAUAUAUAAUUAAAUUUUUAACUGGAUUAAACAUUUGAUAUCCAACAUUUUCAAUUCAGUCUAAUAAAAACUUAAAUAAAUCUAUUUAAAAAAAAAAAAACAUCACAGUCACUAAAUACUUUUCCAAGCCCAUCCUCAAGUCAAGUUAUAACUACAUAAAAACCACUUUUUUCUUUUUCUUUUCUUUUUCUUUCAUUUUCACUUGAUAAAAGACACCAUUAAUUGUGUGUUGCCUUCUCAGAUGUCAUUACCCUCUUCGUUUCUUUCUUCCUCUUGAUUCUCUUCCUUAAGCGAUCAUUACUUCGAUUAAAAUAAUCCCAUUACUAAGUUUCUUUUCUUUAGUUAAACCUCAAAUUAAGAAAAGUUGGUGGUGAGCGGGUAGAUGACAAUUGACACAGAUGCUCUGCAUCUUCCUUGAGCGAUCAUUCCUUCGAUUAAAUAUGAUUUGUUUUCUAUAAUUGAAUCACGAUAAAAUAAAUACUUUACUCACUUGUUUGUGAUAGAUUAUUUAUUGGGUAGCGAAAAUUGUGAAACGAUUAUUUAAAGUCAUUGAAAUGAUUUUGCUUUCUAUAAUGUUCUUUACUCGGGAUUUCGAAAACUUUCAAAAAUCAAUUGAAAUGAUUUUGUUUCUUUUAAUUUGUUUGGUCCCAGUUGGGAAUUGGUGGAUAAUUUGGAAACCAAUCCAAGGGUUUUCCAAAUUACUUGUUUAUUAUUAUUUGUUUAAAGCCUGUCUCAGCCAAGUAUGCGAAGGGAGAGAGAAGGAGUCUUUCAUUAUUAUUAUUAUUAUUUGUUCAUAGUCUUCUUUAAAAAUCUUCCAGUCAAUUCCAUCAAUCGAUAUUUCUAAACUUGAUCCAAUCACUGAUUUAGUCAAACUAUUAAGCCACUAAUAUGACUCACACUCGUAUUUUUCAAAUUACAUGAAUAUUCAUAAUUAUUAAAUUAAAUUAAUUCAAGAAAUUUAAGGUACAACUAUUACUUUUGUUUAUGAGCGUAUAAUUCUUAUAGAAACUUUUCAAUUAAGUCCUUUCAAUUGAUAGCAUCUUUUCUGCUAAUGAUAAAGUUUUUGAGGCUAAUGUUUGGAUUAACAUGGCUCCUCUGAAAGUUCAAGUGUAUUUUUGGUUGGUAAUCGAGGAUAAAGUUAGAGUUUGUUUGGGAACAUGGUGCAAACUGUGUUUCUAAAAAUUUUGAUUUUUUUCGCUUAAAAAAAAAUUAUGUUUUUAAAUCGUUUUGAUAUACUGAUAUUAAAAAUAAUUUUUAUUAAAUGAAAAAACUUUAUUUUAAUGCGCUUCUUGGCGAAGAAAACUUUAAACCGCCACAAUUAUCACAAUCUCAAAUAGGCUAGUAUUAUAACUUUUCUUCAUCACUAGAAAAUUUUGCCUCCCACUCAAGCUUUGUGUGUCUUUUGCUUAUGAUGGAGCACCUUUCAUAUACUAUAACUUUUUUAGAAAUGUUUGGAUGAAAGUCUUGAAUUGAUGGGGUAUUUAACGAUAUUUAUUGAGAACACUAGACUUGUUGCUGCUAUAAUGGUUCAGAAUGGUACAAUGCAAAUUUCAAUGGUUAGCUUGGAGACUAAUCUCUAUUAGUACCAAUUAGGGUAAUUGAUUAUUGAGGAAUAAUAUUAUUUUUGAGAAGAGAAUUAUAAACUUGUUUAAUUGUUUCUCCACCAUCUUUUAUCGGGUUGCUAUUUGAUUGUAUACUUUAGAUUCGAACUUUACUUAUACAGAAGAUGACAUCUUAAGAUAUUUUGAUGGCAUUAAAUUGUGGUAUAAUAAGAAAACUUAGUUAGUCAUUUUUGGUUUUGCUUCUCCUUUUAUGGUCUUUUUGUUUUUGUUGUGGCAGACCAACUUUUUUUUUUUGCUCUCUCUAUUCCUUUAAGUGUUUUUUUUUUUAUGUCCCUGUAUUUUACAUUGGUUGUUUUAUGAUCUUUUCAAUAUACUCUCGAUGAUUAGCUAAAAAAACUAUUACUUUAGCUGUAAUAUUUCUUUUAAUUAUACUCAUAAUUAAAUAUUCAUAGUUAUUAAAUUAUACCCGAUUCAAUGAAUUGAGUUUAAUGCAAGUUAAGUUUAUAGUGGAAUUGAACAUGAAUUAAAACAUAUUUAAUUCAGCAUAAUAAAAACUUAAAUAAAUCAAUAUUUUUUUUUAAAAAAACAAAAACAAAAAAAAAACAAAAUAUCACCAUAGCCCAAGCCUUUUACAAGUCAAUCCUCAAGUCAAGUUAUAACUACGUAAAAACCACUGUUUUUUUUUUUUUUUUCAGUUGAUAAGAGGCACCAUUAAUUGUGUGUUCCCUUCUCAUAUAUAUGUUACUGUGUCUGAUUUCAUCCACAAGCUCUCUGACCUAAUAAUGAAAUUUCUAGCUUCUGAAACAGUGGUCUAUGUCCUCCAAUGGUUUAGGAAAGAAAAAGUUCCUAUAAUUGUUACAGUGGUAGUGGUAGUGAUAUUUUGAUGGCAUUAAAUUGUGGUAUAAUAAGAAAACUUAGUUAGUCAUUUUUGGUUUUGCUUCUCCUUUUAUGGUCUUUUGGUUUUUGUUGUGGCAGACCAAUUUUUUUUUUUGCUCCCUCUAUUCCUUUAAGUGUUUUUUUUUUUUUUUUAUGUUCCUGUAUUUUACAUUGACUGUUUUAUGAUCUUUUCAAUAUACUCUCGAUGAUUAGCUAAAAAAACUAUUACUUUAGCUGUAAUAUUUCUUUUAAUUAUACUCAUAAUUAAAUAUUCAUAGUUAUUAAAUUAUACCCGAUUCAAUGAAUUGAGUUUAAUGCAAGUUAAGUUUAUAGUGGAAUUGAACAUGAAUUAAAACAUAUUUAAUUCAGCAUAAUAAAAACUUAAAUAAAUCAAUAUUUUUUUUAAAAAACAAAAACAAAAAUAAAAACAAAAUAUCACCAUAGCCCAAGCCUUUUACAAGUCAAUCCUCAAGUCAAGUUAUAACUACGUAAAAACCACUGUUUUUUUUUUUUUUUCAGUUGAUAAGAGGCACCAUUAAUUGUGUGUUCCCUUCUCAUAUAUAUGUUAUUACAAUCUUCGUCUCUCGCAUCCUCUUGAUUCUCUUCCUUACCCAUAAACUCUCCUCCCCGUUCAUUUCUAUACAAAUCAGAGUCUACCCCCUAAGCAAUGGAACCACCAACUUCUCUCUCCACAAUUUUCAAUUACCUUUUUGAUCUAAUAAAGAAAUUUCUGGCUUCUGGUGCUGUGUCUGAUUUCAUCCACAAGCUCUCUGACCUAAUAAUGAAAUUUCUAGCUUCUGAAACAGUGGUCUAUGUCCUCCAAUGGUUUAGGAAAGAAAAAGUUCCUAUAAUUGUUACAGUGGUAGUGGUAGUGAUAGCACUCCUGUUUCGUGGUUGCCGUGGAGGUCCUGCCAAGAGUGGUAAAACAAUGAAAGCACCGGGGAGGAACUCUCGCAUACCAAGGAGUAAUUUUGAAGCAAGUCCUUCUGCUUAUUUUAGGAACUUGCGCAACGGGUAGAAUAUAUAUCGAUCCUCAGCCUCCAAUAUGGUUGUUUCCGGUGACUUCUUCACCGGCAGCAGACCAUCUUUUCUUCAUCGACCCUACUGUAUUUUCUUCUUUUCGAGUGGUUUUUCAAAAGCUUUGAUCUGUUCUAGCUAGUAGAUACUUUGGGGGCUUAGUAGGAUGGUAUGCUGGGCUGGGGUGAGCUUGCUUCAACUUACAUGUUUCAAUAAUGAAAGUGAAAUAUUGGUCUUCAUGAUCAACCAUAUCAAUUUCAUCAGUUCAUAUAUAUAGAUUAUAUUUACAUUUGUUGCAAGAAUAACAAUUACUGGCAUUUCCAUCAAGAACACGAAUAACAGAAAUUAAUGACCAUUACUCUUUUACUUGCGUCCAUCUAAAAUAUAUAUGACCGACACUCGUAUUUUCCAAAUUACAUGAAUAUUCACAGUUAUUAAAUUAGAUUGAUUCAAGAAAUUUAAGAUCCGGAUCCGAGUACUGAUCUGAGCUAAGUUUGUAAUUGAAUUCAACAUGACAAGAUCUUCAAGGAAGGUCUCAAAUCAUGAAAAAUGCCGAAGAGCAGUUAUGACAGCAACAGUUCAGAGUUCACCGACUGAAGCUGGGGAAAAUAAAGAACGCUAAAUUCUUUCAUUUGUUAAUGGGAAUAAUAACCAGAAAGAAGAAGAGUGCCAUGCAUACUCUUUAUUAAUGUUAAUGGGAAGACUGUAUCUAAGCCUUCAGAGGUGAGGAAUGAAAUUGUUUGGGAGUGUGAUGUUGUGCUGUUGGUUUGCUGGAGCUAUAUUAAUGGUGAACUAUCAUCAUGGAUGAACGGAGAUAAGCUAUAGGAAUCUUGAACCAUUUGUUGGUUUUGAUCCCAUUAAUUAAGCUGCUGGGAGCCAUGAUGCUGUUUUGAUCUCAUUCUUUUCAAAUAACAGUCUUGUUUUUCUUCAGCUCUGUUUUGCUUCGGUACCUUAUGAUUUUACUUUUCCCUGAUGACCUCUUGCAUGGGUUGUUUAUUUUCCUGCCUUAAUUCUCUAGGCUCAAUCUAUUUUGCUUGUAGUAAUAUAAUAAUAAUAAUAAUAAUAAUAAUAAUAAUAAUAAAGCAGUAAGCAGUAACUACAUAACUGUAGUGGGUGGAGGCUGGAGCAGUAAUUAUAAUAAUAACUAUUUUUCCAGAAGAGUAAUAAUGUAGAUGGGUUUAAAGAAUUUGAUAAUUAUGAGUAGUCAAGUGUAUCUGUCAAGAUAAUGUAGAAAUGCAUAGCCUAAUUCUUUAAAGGGUUAAAGAUGCAACUAGCUCACCUUUUGGUAUUAUUAUUUUUUUAACUUAAUUUCAGGUUUUAUAUUGUUUUUCUUUUGAUUUAGUUUUAAUUUAAGAAGUUUUGUGUAAAAAUCUUUUUCAACAAUUUUUUUUCCUUGUGUUGAUACCAUUUUUUGCGUAGUGAGGCCCUACGAAUGCUUUUGCUUUGUUUCUUUACUUUUGCUUGUGCUUUCUUUGUUAAAAGUGAUAUUUUCCCCACAUUAACACUGGUAAAAGAUAUUUUCUAAACUAGUAAAUAUUUCUCAAAUAUAAUAUAGUAAAAGAAAUUGUGCUUAUUACAUGAUAAAAAAUCAAGAUUGAUAUGUAACUUGAUUUGUUUUGAAAGAAUCUAGGUUUUGAUUGGGUUGAACUCAGAUCGAGUCACAAGUAAACUCGAGUUUUUAACUUAAUCAAUAAAUAUUUUUUUCAUUUUAAAUUUAAAAUAAAUUUAGGCUCAAAUGAGUGGAACAAUUAGAUUUUUAUUGUUUUUAAAAAAUCAUUGAUAUAGUUAAACUAUUACUUAUGCUGUAUUUUUUUUUUUAAAUUAUACUAAUAAAAAUUCAUAGUUAUCAUUUAUAUAGUUAUUAAAUUAUUCCCGAUUCAAUGAGUUGUUUUAGAAAAAUCUAAUUAAGUUGCUAGUUGAAUUAAACAUUUUGUCGAUAUAAAACGUGUUUGACAGUGUGGUAGCGGUUGCUUUUCAAAUAGUUUUUUGUGUCGAAAUACAUGCCAAUGAUGUUUUUUCAUUUUUUAAAAAUUAUUUUUGAUAUCAGUACAUCAAAACAAUCUAAAAAAUACAAACCAAACUCAAUUUUAACAAAAAAAAAUAAAAUUCAAAUUUGCACCAAACGCAGAGACAAACGAUCUCUAGUCAAACAUGUUCAAUUCAGCCUAAUAAAAACUUAAAUAAAUCAAUAUUUAAAAAAAUAAAAAAAACGAAACAUCGCUGUCACUCAAUACUUUUCCAAGUCAAUCCUAAGUCAAGGUAUAACUACGUAAAAACCACUUCUUUUUUCUUUCAUUUUCACUUGAUAAAAGGCACCAUUAAUUGUGUGUUCCCUGCUCAUAUGUCAUUACACUCUUCGUUUCUCGCUUCCUCUUGAUUCUCUUCCUUACCCAGAAACUCUCCUCCCCAUUCAUUUCUAUACAAAUCGCAGUCUACCCCCUAAGCAAUGGAACUACGAACUUCUCUCUCCACGAUUUUCCAUUACCUUUUUGAUCUGAUAAAGAAAUUUCUGGUUUCUGGUGCUGUGUCUGAUUUCAUCCACAAGCUUUCUGAUCUAACAGAUACAUUUCUAGCUUCUGAUACAGUGGUACAUGUCCUCCAAUGGUUUAAGAAAGAAAACGUU